rnacentral:lncRNA from 1 species
CCGGGGAACCCCAUUCGGGCCGGCUGUCGUCUCACAAGAGGAAAAGGGAAGAGGCUGGUGCCGGGAAAAGGGAAGGAAGAAGAACGCCAGGGUUAGAAGAGGGUGUCGAGGCGGGGAUUUCAAAGCUCAGACCCUCCAAGCAGAUGCCACAGGCCCUUGGGAUGGAAAGGCCCAGAUAGGGGGCAAUGGGCCCUGCACAGUGACAGACAUUUGCUGUUGCUGCUCUCCACUGAGAAGCAAGAGGACCGAGAGGCUCCCAAUGUCAUCCUGGAGCCUUCCCCUGGCAACCCUAGGAUACCCAGAGGGGCUAUGUGUCCUCUCUGGGCUGGUCACACCAUGAU